AAUCCCAGGGACGGGGGAGCCUGGUGGGCUGCCAUCUAUGGGGUUGCACUUAGCAGCAGCAGCAGCAGCCAGGAGAUAGUGAAGGACACAGAGGACAGGUGUGCUACAGUCCUUGGGGUCACAAAGAGUCAGAUGCGACUUAGCAACUGAACAACAACAAUAGAUUUUCUAUAACUAGAUUCUUGUAAGAAUCUGAAACUAAUAGGAUCAAUUCUAACUAAGAGGUCAGAAAGCAUUUUGUGAAGCAGUUUUCAAUUUAAAUGGCAGAUGGCAAAGGCAGAGGAAAUUACAAAGUUACCUGGAACAGGAAAAAUGGUAUCAAUUAAUCAGCUUCAAAACAGUUGAUAGAAGAUGGAGAGAAAACACGUCAGUGUUGUGAUGGGGGGGAUUCCAUUCUUCUGACCUUUUAAAAGUUUUUACUUACAGUCAGGAAGGUCAGCCGGUCUCCAUCUUAUUUCUGUGUCCUAAUUUGCGUUGACUGUACACAAAGUUUGGCCAGAGAGACAUGCAGGUAAAACCAGAACAACAACAAAACUGUCAAAACAUGAUAAGAGACAAGGUUUUCCCAGCAAAGUGUAAAAUUUUAUUUUCUUUCAGGUAAACUCUCCAGCUGCUAUUUUACAGGAAGGUAAGUAUCUGUAAAUAAAAGAACCAUUCAAUAGUCAAAUCUUCAGAUCAGAGUUUUAAUGAUUUCAUUCGCGUUACAGAAUUUACUCUCUUCUUACCACUAAGGUCAUCAUAGCACCCUCUAAAAUGAAUUUAACACAACAAUUAAUUUACAUACACAGAUUGCAGUUGAAUAGUAACUGCUUUUAAAUAGACCAGUUUCAUCUUCAGGUCAUUAGAUUUGGCAUCUCAAUCACACAGAUAAGUUCACUGCUAUAAAGCAAGCCAAUAUGAGUAAGUUGCAUAUUCUAAAAUGUCUAAUCCAGAGUUCAGACCUCCUGAGGAGUUUGCUAUCUACCAUCUCAUGUCUCAGCUUCUUAAUCUGUACUACUGAUACAUUUCCAGUGAUUUCAUUCUAUCCCAUUAAGAGGCUGUAUUAAGAAUUAGGUGCUAACACUCUUCAUUGGCAUCAUCAUUUAAAAAGCAUUCACCUGAUUUUAGGAAGCACUUUAAUUAUAUUUUUCACUCUGCCACUUUUGUUCUUUAUCUCAAAUUUAUAGUUUCUUUCUUAAAUACUUUUGCCAUUUUACCAACUUCUUUGUCAGUGGGUACAUAAAUAUAC
ensembl:lncRNA